CCGGUUGAUCCUGCCGGACCUGACUGCUAUCGGAUUGAUACUAAGCCAUGCGAGUCAUUGUAGCAAUACAAGGCAGACGGCUCAGUAACGCGUAGUCAACCUACCCUAUGGACGGGGAUAACCUCGGGAAACUGAGAAUAAUACCCGAUAGAACAUUAUACCUGGAAUGGUUUAUGUUUCAAAUAAUUUAUUGCCGUAGGAUGGGACUGCGGCCUAUCAGUUUGUUGGUGAGGUAAUGGCCCACCAAGACUAUUACAGGUACGGGCUCUGAGAGGAGUAGCCCGGAGAUGGGUACUGAGACACGGACCCAGGCCCUAUGGGGCGCAGCAGGCGAGAAAACUUUGCAAUGUGCGAAAGCACGACAAGGUUAAUCCGAGUGGUUUCUGCUAAAGGAACCUUUUGUUAGUCAUAGAACCACUAAUGAAUAAGGGGUGGGCAAGUUCUGGUGUCAGCCGCCGCGGUAAAACCAGCACCUCAAGUGGUCAGGAUGAUUAUUGGGCCUAAAGCAUCCGUAGCCUGCUUUGUUAGUUUUCGGUUAAAUCCAUACGCUCAACGUAUGGGCUGCCGGGAAUACUGCAAAGCUAGGGAGCGGGAGAGGUAGACGGUACUCGGUAGGAAGGGGUAAAAUCCUUUGAUCUAUUGAUGACCACCUGUGGCGAAGGCGGUCUACCAGAACACGUCCGACGGUGAGGGAUGAAAGCUGGGGGAGCAAACCGGAUUAGAUACCCGGGUAGUCCCAGCUGUAAACUAUGCAAACUCGGUGAUGCAUUGGCUUGAUGCCAAUGCAGUGCCGCAGGGAAGCCGUUAAGUUUGCCGCCUGGGAAGUACGUACGCAAGUAUGAAACUUAAAGGAAUUGGCGGGGGAGCACCACAAGGGGUGAAGCCUGCGGUUCAAUUGGAUUCAACGCCGGAA
rnacentral:rRNA from 1 species